rnacentral:rRNA from 1 species
UACGGAGGGUGCAAGCGUUAUCCGGAUUCACUGGGUUUAAAGGGUGCGUAGGUGGGCAGGUAAGUCAGUGGUGAAAUCUCCGGGCUUAACCCGGAAACUGCCGUUGAUACUAUCUGUCUUGAAUGUAGUGGAGGUGAGCGGAAUAUGUCAUGUAGCGGUGAAAUGCUUAGAUAUGACUUAGAACACCAAUUGCGAAGGCAGCUUGCUAAACAAUGAUUGACGCUGAGGCACGAAAGCGUGGGGAGCAAACAGG